CGCCGCGGUAAUACGGAGGGUGCAAGCGUUAAUCGGAAUUACUGGGCGUAAAGCGCACGCAGGCGGUCUGUCAAGUCAGAUGUGAAAUCCCCGGGCUUAACCUGGGAACUGCAUUUGAAACUGGCAGGCUAGAGUCUUGUAGAGGGGGGUAGAAUUCCAGGUGUAGCGGUGAAAUGCGUAGAGAUCUGGAGGAAUACCGGUGGCGAAGGCGGCCCCCUGGACAAAGACUGACGCUCAGGUGCGAAAGCGUGGGGAGCAAACAGGAUUAGAUACCCUGGUAGUCCACGCCGUAAACGAUGUCGACUUGGAGGUUGUGCCCUUGAGGUGU
rnacentral:rRNA from 1 species